AUGAAUAUUUUCAUAUGGAAGAUAGAUGAAGACUUCACAAGAAAGAAAAUGCUUGAACUGAAUCUUGGAAGUUAGAACCAGCAGUUCACCAGUGGACAGAGGACUGCAGAAAAUCAACCUAUCCUCCUUCAGGACCAACGUACAGAGGUGCAGUUCCAUGGUACACCAUAAAUCUUGACUUACCACCCUACAAAAGAUGGCAUGAAUUGAUGCUUGACAAGGCACCAGUGCUAAAGGUUAUAGUGAAUUCUCUGAAGAAUAUGAUAAAUACAUUCGUGCCAAGUGGAAAAAUUAUGCAGGUGGUGGAUGAAAAAUUGCCUGGCCUACUUGGCAACUUUCCUGGCCCUUUUGAAGAGGAAAUGAAGGGUAUUGCCGCUGUUACUGAUAUACCUUUAGGAGAGAUUAUUUCAUUCAAUAUUUUUUAUGAAUUAUUUACCAUUUGUACUUCAAUAGUAGCAGAAGACAAAAAAGGUCAUCUAAUACAUGGGAGAAACAUGGAUUUUGGAGUAUUUCUUGGGUGGAACAUAAAUAAUGAUACCUGGGUCAUAACUGAGCAACUAAAACCUUUAACAGUGAAUUUGGAUUUCCAAAGAAACAACAAAACUGUCUUCAAGGCUUCAAGCUUUGCUGGCUAUGUGGGCAUGUUAACAGGAUUCAAACCA
rnacentral:lncRNA from 1 species